rnacentral:rRNA from 1 species
UACAGAGGGUGCAAGCGUUAAUCGGAUUUACUGGGCGUAAAGCGCGCGUAGGUGGCCAAUUAAGUCAAAUGUGAAAUCCCCGAGCUUAACUUGGGAAUUGCAUUCGAUACUGGUUGGCUAGAGUAUGGGAGAGGAUGGUAGAAUUCCAGGUGUAGCGGUGAAAUGCGUAGAGAUCUGGAGGAAUACCGAUGGCGAAGGCAGCCAUCUGGCCUAA